rnacentral:tRNA from 1 species
GGGGCAUUAACUCAGUUGGUAGAGUGCUUGCAUGGCAUGCAAGACGUCAGCGGUUCAAAUCCGCUAUGCUCCA